rnacentral:rRNA from 1 species
CCUACGGGAGGCUGCAGUGAGGAAUAUUGGUCAAUGGCCGAGAGUCUGAACCAGCCAAGUCGCGUGAGGGAAGACGGCCCUAUGGGUUGUAAACCUCUUUUGUCUGGGAGCAAAGCGAGUCACGUGUGACUUAUUGAGAGUACCCGAAGAAAAAGCAUCGGCUAACUCCGUGCCAGCAGCCGCGGUAAUACGGAGGAUCCGAGCGUUAUCCGGAUUUAUUGGGUUUAAAGGGUGCGUAGGCGGAGGUUCAAGUCAGCGGUUAAAUUUUGGGGUUCAACCCCGUUAUUGCAGUUGAGACGGGAUGCCUUGAGUGCAGGAGAGGUAGGCGGAAUGCGUGGUGUAGCGGUGAAAUGCAUAGAUAUCACGAAGAACUCCGAUUGCGAAGGCAGCAUACUGGCGUGCAACUGACGCUGAUGCACGAAAGUGUGGGUAUCGAACAGGAUUAGAUACCCGAGUAGUC